GGCUCAGAACGAACGCUGGCGGCGCGUUUAAGCAUGCAAGUCGAGCGGCAAGGGCCUUCGGGCCCUAGAGCGGCGGACGGGUGAGUAACACGUGGACAAUCUGCCCCCCGGCCCGGGAUAGCCCAGGGAAACCUGGAUUAAUACCGGAUGAGACGGGACCCGCGAUGGCGGGAUCCGGGAAAGGCGCUGCGGCGCCGCCGGGGGAUGAGUCUGCGUCCCAUUAGCUAGACGGCGGGGUAACGGCCCACCGUGGCGACGAUGGGUAGCCGGCCUGAGAGGGUGGACGGCCACAUUGGAACUGAGACACGGUCCAGACUCCUACGGGAGGCAGCAGCUAAGAAUCUUCCGCAAUGGGCGAAAGCCUGACGGAAGCGACGCCGCGUGAACGAAGAAGGCCGUGAGGUUGUAAAGUUCUUUUCGGGAGGGGGAACAACCGUGGCAGGGAAUGGCCGCGGGAUGACGUGAAUCCCGGAAUAAGCCCCGGCUAACUACGUGCCAGCCGCCGC
rnacentral:rRNA from 1 species